rnacentral:tRNA from 1 species
UGUGGCUCAGAGGUAGAGUGCUCGCCUACCAAGCGUGAGUCACUGGGUUCAAUCCCAAGCA